rnacentral:rRNA from 1 species
AUGAGGAAACCAGCACUGGGAAAAAGGGAAAAUAUAAAGACACUUCUGGAGAAAUUUAAGCAGGUAACCACUUGGAAAAAGCAUGCCUCUGAGCUGACUGUUGACAAAGAGUGGACUUUUACCUCUGAGCCAGGGGCGGACCUAGGAAUUGGCCACGACCCGGGCCCAGGCCUACUACAAUGUCGCUAUAGGGCCCAAAAAACUACAGUUACCAAAUGCUGCUCUCCUGCUUGCUAUCCUUCUAUGCUGUGCCUUGGUGUGCUCGGCCACGGCACCCCAGGUAAAGUACUGGACUGUAUCCUUCUCCUUCUUCCCUUCGCGGUGAUAGCCAACAAACACGACUACCACAUUCAUUACCUUGGUCGCAACAUGGGCUCCACGUCCUUGCGCACGAGGACAUCGACUUACAAGGUGGCAGCUGAGGGGGAGCGCCGGGAGCAGCGCAAUGAGGCGCGUCGGGCGGCCUACGCGACGUCGCACGUGGGGCUGACUAGGUCUGCGCCGACACGGACCUCACGUUGGCCUGGGCUGAUAAUCGGUCAAGGGCCACUAGGCAGACGAAUGCCCACCCCCAGCUCCGGAUCAGGACUGUCUCUACAAAUAGUGGGUAGAUGA